rnacentral:lncRNA from 1 species
GUUCCUAGUAUAAAUAUCCCCUACCUCUAAGCUAUCAGUAACCUUUGAUCAUUUGAUAAACUACAUGAUAUUGCAGCCGCGCUGCUGAGUGCCUUACUCAACCUUUGUUCUUCCUUGUUCUUCAUGGACUUGUGAAGUGAAUCCUUUAGGUUCCCCUACUUCGUGCUCUACGGCUUCCGUUCGGCUGCGCCGUAUGGUGUGGAUUAGUUCCGGAUUGUGGUUCUGCGGUCGGUCGGUGAUCGAGUCGAAGUCUUCGUGGUUUCGGUGCCUCUCUCCCCGUCGCUUGGUCGCAUCCAACCUUUGUCAGGUAUAAAGCUAGUUACCCGCUGUUCGCAGUAAGUUAUCCUUGUUCUUUUGAUCUACUGUCGUGAAGAUCGGGCCACCCUCGUAUCGAUUCCAUAUCGGUAAUCUACCAACUGGUAUCAAAGCUUUCGUUGUCACGGUAGGUCUCACAAUCAUCCACAUAUCUGCAUUUAGUUUAUCUAUCGUUUGCUACUGUUUUGUUCAUCACCUAUAGUCCACUGAAAAGCCCCAAAAAAAAUCCUAGAGCCCUUUGGACGGUACUGUUAUCUUGUGUUUUUGUGUUCAUCAAGUUGCUAGUCACCCUCUUUACAUAUAUUGUGUUGUGUUUCAUUUGUUAUCUGCACCCCUGUUAGUAUAAAAAAAGAGUCCAAAAAAAUCAGAGAAAAAAAUUCAGAGAAAGAAAGAAAAAAAAGAAGAACAGAAAGAUCCGAAAGAAAAGUAAAAGAAGAGGAGAGGGGUUGUAUUGCGGUUUGCUUACUGAACAUUUCAGUAUACAUAUUCAGAUUCUUAUUGAUUUAUAUAACAGCAACAUUAUAUCAAAGAGCAUAUCAAACCACUUGAUUUUUAGUACCGUAGCCUGUAGCACCCGGUUUUAAGAACAAAACCAGAUACACACCAUAUGUGAGCCCAGGAAGUCAAAUCUCACAUAUAGCCACAAAUAGGGGUAAUAUCAAUAGACAAUGCUUAUAUAUGACAAACUUAGUAUAGAAGAUAUAACCUUAAAUAGCAAACAGCGGAAAGACACUCCGUUCUUCAGGCGAAAGCUCCAAAUCCACAGGGACAACUGACUGGUUGAGCACAAGCCUAAACUCUUUUCCAAGCUUGCAAUCUGGUACCCAUCCGGGAUUUUUAUCCAAAUAAAAUGUAAAGACAAGCGUAAGUACAUCUCGUACUCAGCAAGAAUAACAUAGGGUUCAUGAGGCUCAAAGGCUAGACACUGGUUGAACUGCAUGUAGCUUUUAGUUGUCACAAUUUUAGCAUAUGAGUAGCAUCAAGUUGUCAAGUCCCAUAGUAAACUCAUGAUCAAGUAAAGUGAAUAAAGAAUAGCAUAAACAACAUAUUAACAAUAAUAACAUUAAUGAAUUGCCAUUAGUGUUCAUUUAUUCUGUAUUGGUCCAAGAACGCUCGUGACCGUGAGCACGGCUGAUAUAUCAGUUUUACACUCUGCAGAGGUUGUACACUUUCACUGUGAGUCGUGAUUUACCCUUUCGCCCGAGGUCGCGAGUCUCUUAACCCCACUCCUAGGGAGGCCGGCAGGGUUCACUAUGAAGCCUUUCAAAGGUUCGUCUAACAAGUUAGGGCCGCUAGGUUUCGUAAGUUAGUCCGUGUGACUCACCCGCAGGAAUCCACGGUCUGCUAUCCCCCACUUGCGCCACAAGGGUAACCACUAACAAGCUAGAAAAGGUCCUCGUACUGAGCUAAAGCCAGAGCCAUGUAGCCCUCACAGUUGUACUGUAUGUCCCGGAUGGUCAGAUACAGAUAAGUCCUUAUGGAGAGAAACUAGAGCACCAUAAGAUAGCCCAAUGCUCCAGCCCUCUUUUCCAAAGUUGCUAAAAAAGUCAUCUUUUAAUGUUUAUUGCAUAAUCCUUUAAUCAAAUUACAAGAUCAUGGUUUUAGUGGAGCACUAGCAUAAGCUACCCAAUGCAAAACCAUGGGUGACAAGGUAUAAGAUCAAUGCUAGGAAAUCCUUAGCAAGAAGACACAUGCAAUAUGAAUUGUGUGAUUAAAGUUAUUAGGAAACAAGGAUGAUCACAUGCUAUACUUGCCUUGAAACUCAGAUCCUUCUUUUAGUUCCAAACCUUCCACAAACUGCUUCUUGAUCACUACGUAAAAGCUCACCAACUAAACUCAGUCAUCACAUCAACAUCAAUCAUCCAGAGGCAGUCAUACAAAGCAAACAAACCUAUAAUUAGAACAAUACACCAAUGGUAGAAAAUAAAGAUGAAAAGUUUAUAAAACGAAUCUACAUCACUCUACGAUCACAAAGACGUAAAGAUCACGAAAAUCGGAGCUAUAACGAAGAAGUUAUGAUUUUCCUAAGAUUUCCUUUAAUAAAAUAAUAGAUUAAAACUAAGUUUAGAUUUAAAAAGUUGAAAGCAUAUAUAACAGAGCUACUAAUCUAUAGAUUACGCAAAAACGAAUCUAACGAAAUUUGAACGGAUCAAAACGGAGUUAAAACGAAGAAUAUAUGAAUUUUCUAAGAUUUUCUUUAGAAAACAAUUAAUUAAUUUGGGUCACGGAAUUAAAAUGUUUCAAACUGAGAAAACAAUGUUACUAACAUGUAGACCUUUUGAAUACAAAACCAACGCAAUUUGAAUGGGUCAAAUUGGAGUUAAAACGAAUAUUUUAUGAGCAAAAGAAAGUCAGUGGCAAUUCUGUAAAUACUGAAAACGUAUUUUGAAUUCAACCGCUCGGAAAUACGUAAUCCAAUUGAGAAAACGUAUUUUGAGAAAGGCGCUUGGACUGCGGGUUAAGACUUUAAAAGCAGGGGGUUCUUUUGCAAAAAGUGCAGCCGAAAGGGUAUCUUUUGAUUUGAGCCGUUGGAUUUCAAACGGACGGUUGAGCUUAGAUCGUGGGGAGGGAGAGGGAGCUGGCCAGCCGGAGCUGAGGCCGACCCUGGCGGCGCCAUGGCCGGAGUUGGCCGGCGCUUGCGGUUCGAGCGAUUUACGGCACGAGAGACUAAACCGAAAGCACCAGAACGCGGAGGAGCUCGGUGCGAACUCACUUGGGGCCAAGGUUGGAACCGACGGAGUCCGACUCGGGCUUGCGACGGCAAGGGGCGGACGGUGGCUCUGCAAGAAGUUUGGCGGGGGUUAGGAAACAACAGAGAGCACGAGAACGGAAACGAGGGGUCUCGGCGACUUCGCAAUAGCAGUGGGAAGAUCGGCAAGUCGCUCACGGUGACAAACACGCGAAGCAGCGGCGGAUUGGCUUCGACCCGGAUCUCGUCGGUGGUUUUCAGCGAGCACAAGGCGACGGUCGGCUCUGGGAUUUGGUAGGGGACUAGGCGAGGGUCGGGGUGAGUAUUUAAAGGGGCAAACGUGCGGAGCAAGGAGUUCAGGAGGGAGAUUACGCGUGGCCGGUGCGAUCUUUGGGGGGAGUCGGGCCCCGUCACGAGGUAGGAGAAAGUUCUGCCCGGUGGGCCCCCCCUGUGGGUGACUUACGGUCGGGGGCCCGCUCGUUAGUGGAAGAAAAGAGGGGAAGGGAUGCUGGCGCGGGGGGGGGGGGGGAAACUGGGCCGCGGCCUUCUAUGCGCGCUGGGCCGAGAAGAAGAAGGAGGGGGGAAGCUCUGGGCCUUCGGGCUGAUUUCUAGGGAGAGAGAGGAGAGAAAAAUAAAUACUUUUCCAAUUUUAUUUUCAAUCCUUUGCUUAAUUAGAUUUCAAGAAAAUUUGAAAACCUUUUGAAAUUCAAAACAACCACUCACACAAAAUAAAGUGCAGCAGCAUGGAUGCUCAGACAAGUUGCUAACUCCUAUAGUAAAUUUUUGUUUAACGAAAAUAUUAUUUUUCCUAUAUUUCAUGGGCACGAAAAUACACAAUUUAACAAUUUAUCCUAUUUUGGAAAAUUGCAAAUUUUUGGGUGUUACAAUUCUACACCCCUUAAGAUGAAUCUCGUCCUCGAGAUUUGGUUGGUGCUUACUCCAACAACUGCGGGUAUGUUUUUCUUAGAUCCUCUUCUCUAUUACAAACAGUCUCCUCUUCGGUGCAGUGAUUCCACUGGACUUUGUACAUCCUGAAAAUCCAACUCCUGGUCACCUUGUUUCCAAAAUUCCCACUGGGUACUCUUUGUAUGUGAAAUCCAAUUUAUCAGUCAAUUCUUCUAACGACAUCUGCUCUUAUGGCACAUGCAAACACUUCUUAAGUGGUGGCACAUGGAAGACAUCAUACACUCCUUCUAAACUUUCAGGUAGCUCUACUUGGUAAGCCACUUCGUUUCAUAUUUCUUACAUCUUGAGAGGCCCGAUAUACCUUGGUGCCAACUUUCCUUUCAUAUUAAACCUCCACACACUUCUCCUAGGUGACACCUCCAAAUACACAUAGUUUCACACUUUGGAACUAAUUCUUUUCUCAGGCGUCAACAUAACUCUUCUAUCGAGACUGUGACACCCUUAAGUUGUCUUUGAUCACUCUCACUUGUUAUUCAGCAUCUCUUAGAACUUCUAGCCCAAACACUUGUGUUCUCCCGUUUGAUUCCAUAUCAACAGGGUUCUACACUUACAUCCAUACAAGCUUUCAAAAGGCUCCCACUGAAGGCUCCUCUACUAACUGUUGUUCUAAGAAAACUUCGCAUACAGUAAACUCUUUGUACCAUACUGCAAUACACAAGCUCACAACAUAUCUUCUAAGUAAUCUUUGCAAUUCCUGUGGUUCCCAAAAUGAGUAUUAGUAGAGCUCAUUUGGUAGUUCUAGUGACAUCACCCCGUUCAACACUCAACCCUUCAACUUUCAGUGUCAUUUGAACUCCUCUAGCACACUCUUUAUGCUCUGAGCAUUCUCAAAGGCUUUUCUCCUUCAAGUGAUAGCAUUUUUCCUAGUCAUACCCUUGAUUUACUGAACUCCAUCGACAAUGUGACCGGCUCAAAUCCAACUUCCUAAAGAUGCCCUUUAGAUUCUUUCAUUCCACGUAGAUAUCACUUUUACAUCCAAGAAGAUAGUAUCUCCAUGAUGCACUAUGGAUACCUCCCCAUCAUGUGUUGGGCGGUCCAACUUACUUAGUCAACUUAUGCACAGGCCACUACUUUUCUUGUAUAAAGCACAUCUAAAGUCUCGCUGGGAUAAAAGAACUCUAUUUGUUAAUCUUUAUAACACCUUCCAUGAACCACUGAUAGAAUCUUAUCAUUCCAAGUCAAUCUCUUAUUCACUCUUAUGUCAAGAUCACAUUGGAUCUAGCAAACCUAUGAUAGCCUCUUGUCAUAUCUAUAAAACUCUAAGUCUCAUUCACUUUCCUUUGGUUGUUUCCAACUCUUGCAUCUUUAACUUUCUUAAGUCCAUCAUUAAAGAUGACGUCUCCUAGAUGAGAACUUCCAUUAACUAGAACAUACUGGUCAUGCUCUCUUUAGCAAUGAAGCCUUUUGAAUCUCAGUAGAAUCAAUAGUAGAUGCAGUUUAUCCACUUCCUAAGUUGUCAAGUGACCAAUUUUCACUAUCUCGAGCCAGAGUAGAUGAUUAUAAUCAUGGGAUAUCUCCAGAGACACUUCUUACUUCAUGGUAAAUUAAAAGGGCAUUAAUCUAUCAUAUCAGGGUACUACCCCCCUUAAAAUGAGAUAGGUAGGGGGAUAGUAUGGACUAGCUCUUCAUAUACUGUCUAGAUGAUUCACAUCAUAUGGUCUUUUAAAAUCACUGUACCAAGUCUCAUGAUCUAGAGUUGGUUUCAUCACUACGUUCCAACUAUUGGUACCUCUAUUAGAGUUGAAUUGCUUUGCUCUCACAUCCCAUGUAUAACUUGGUAGACUUUGGUGUCACCUGAUUCUCAUAAGCACCACUUCCAAGCUAUGAGUUCCAGCAAUGACGUAUACCUCCAUCCAUAUUACCACACUUCUUGCAUCAAAAACCAAAUUUUACCAAACACUUGAGGUCCUUAUCGAUGAUCCAGUGUUAACCAAUACUUCUCCCUGUAUCUCCUUUGAUAAGACUACCCCCUUAGAAAAGGUAAACUAGGGGCUUAAAUGGGUAGUUUCGUCCAUCUUUAAAGUGGGUUUCUUAUCAUCAGAUCUUCUAAUACCGAAGAGAAAUUCAUGUGUACUGAUAUGUACAAGUAAUCUGGAAUUCCUCACAACACGAGAAACACCAGCGCAGUAAAAUAGACAUAACUCCUUUUCUGUUAAUCCAAUGAGGUUUUAGCUUAUACCAUUAGAAACCUUAUCAAAUUCCCUACAACUUUCAUAUAGAAGGCUUCCUUAGUUUCUGUCAUUAAACCUAGGUAAAACAGCCAUACAUGAUAUCCAUCCCGACAAUGUCUCAGCAUUCGGUGCAGCAACUUGCAGAAGUCAUAUCUCGAGUUACUUAGAUCAUAUGGGGACGAGUCUUACAUGGUUGAAAAUCUUAUGAAGUCCUCCACAACUUCUGUAUAUCCCACCUUUUCCAGAUUCUGAUGUUAAGUUGGCUGAAAAUAGGAACUAACUAGAACUGUCCAGAUUUUGAACUGUGCAGCAACAGCAACUUGUAGAUGUCAUAACUUCAAGUUCUAUUAAUCCGAUAAAGUUGCAGCUUGCAUCGUUGGAAAGCUUAUCAAAAGACCUAAAACUUUCUUAUAGAACCUUUUCCCAAAUUCCAGAGUUACAUUUGUCCAAAACAGUAGGCAACUAAACUGGUCCAGAUUUUUGACAGCUCAAUGGUGCCUUCUUGUGAUUUUCGUAAUUCCCAAACCACAACAGCUAUGUGGGUGAUUCUUGCGGUCAGAGAAGGAUCUUGAAGUCUACUAUCACCCAGAAUUUUCACAUGAUUUUAUGGUCCUCCGAGGUUAGGGAUUUGAACUGAAGAAGAUAAGUUGCUCCCAAAGGACAAGGACAAAGAAACAAGAGAAACUAAAACCCAACUAUUUAUUCACUAGUCCUUAUACCUUAGGUCUGUAAACUAAAUGAAAUUGUGGAGAAACCCACAAGAUCAUUGCAGUCAUUACAAAAAUCCAACUCAAACAUAAGCACUAAGACAACCCAAUCAAACAUUAAAGGUUCACAAAGCACACAUAUAUGACUAAACUCAACUUUCGCCACUAACGUUUAUUACAAAGGGGGACUUCCUACUUCUUAAACACGGUGUCGCUGCAGCGGCAUCCAGGGUAGCAUCUCUUGCGUGGAGUUAAGCGAGGUAUGUCCUCCACCUCAUUGAUCUUAGGUAAUCCACCACGACUUCUCCACUCAUCAAUCUCAUCCAGGGCUUCCUCAUAGUGUUGCCUUACUUCUGCCAAUUCCCGUUGACUGUCUUCUAGCUUUUGAUGCACGACUUGGAUAGUCACAACCAUCUCCUUUAGUUGUUCAUUCUGCUCCAAGUGGGGGUCAGCCAUCACACAUUGCAAAGUGCCUGGUGGACGACGAGGAAGAUAUUUUUGUUUGCCAUUCUUCCUCUCUUCAUAGUGCUUUCCAUGAUAUGCCAGAAGAGCUUGAUGGGCAGCAUCAGAUAUGCUAGCAUGCUUACUGAAACGGUCACUGAGAGACGAGUGAAUGGAUUCCACCACGCGUGACCCAGUAAACUCAUUCCACCUUGUGAUGUGUGCUUCUGUGCUCCAGUGGCUCUCAUACUUAGGAUGAGUCCACUUAGUGCACUUAUAUUCCACCUUGGCUUGCUGUUCAGGAUAGUGGUCUUGUAGUAUACGCACAAGCCGAGGGUGAAAGAAAUCUUCCCCACUAAAGGAUGUGGUAAAGUACUCCUUUCGCCAACCAAUAUGUCUUGAUGGGACAGGGUGAGCUUCCUCAUACUCUGGUUCCGUUAAGCCAUAGAUACCCCGAGUUAAGCAUGGUCUUCCAGAGUUGUUGCGAGCAAUAUUUUUGUUACGAACCAUCUAUGGAAUUAGAACGAGAGGAAUUUAGAUUAGAAGCAAUAAUUUUACAACAGAAUUAGAUGGUAGGAGCAUAAGAAUUUUAGCAAAUAGCAAGGGUGAGAUAGUAAGCAUGAAUGUAGUGAAGCAAAGAUGACUAAAACGACUAUUACUAACUAGGCUUGUGUCCUACAGUCAGCAUUGCUCCGAUACCACUUUGUAGCACCCGGUUUUAAGAACAAAACCAGAUACACACCAUAUGUGAGCCCAGGAAGUCAAAUCUCACAUAUAGCCACAAAUAGGGGUAAUAUCAAUAGACAAUGCUUAUAUAUGACAAACUUAGUAUAGAAGAUAUAACCUUAAAUAGCAAACAACGGAAAGACACUGCGUUCUUCAGGCGAAAGCUCCAAAUCCAUAGGGACAACUGACUGGUUGAGCACAAGCCUAAACUCUUUUCCAAGCUUGCAAUCUGGUACCCAUCCGGGAUUUUUAUCCAAAUAAAAUGUAAAGACAAGCGUAAGUACAUCUCGUACUCAGCAAGAAUAACAUAGGGUUCAUGAGGCUCAAAGGCUAGACACUGGUGGAACUGCAUGUAGCUUUUAGUUGUCAUAAUUUUAGCAUAUGAGUAGCAUCAAGUUGUCAAGUCCCAUAGUAAACUCAUGAUCAAGUAAAGUGAAUAAAGAAUAGCAUAAACAACAUAUUAACAAUAAUAACAUUAAUGAAUUGCCAUUAGUGUUCAUUUAUUUUGUAUUGGUCCAAGGCCGCUCAUGACCGUGAGCACGGCUGAUAUAUCAGUUUUACACUCUGUAGAGGUUGUACACUUUCAUUGUGAGUCAUGAUUUACCCUUUCGCCCAAGGUCGCGAGUCUCUUAACCCCCUUCCUAGGGAGGCCGGCAGGGUUCACUAUGAAGCCUUUCAAAGGUUCGUCUAACAAGUUAGGGCCGCUAGGUUUCAUUAGUCAGUCCGUGUGACUCACCCGCAGGAAUCCACGGUCUGCUAUCCCCCACUUGCGCCACAAGGGUAACCACUAACAAGCUAGAAAAGGUCCUCGUACUGAGCUAAAGCCAG